rnacentral:rRNA from 1 species
UAGGGAAUCUUCGGCAAUGGGGGCAACCCUGACCGAGCAACGCCGCGUGAGUGAAGAAGGUUUUCGGAUCGUAAAGCUCUGUUGUAAGAGAAGAACGAGUGUGAGAGUGGAAAGUUCACACUGUGACGGUAACUUACCAGAAAGGGACGGCUAACUACGUGCCAGCAGCCGCGGUAAUACGUAGGUCCCGAGCGUUAUCCGGAUUUAUUGGGCGUAAAGCGAGCGCAGGCGGUUAGAUAAGUCUGAAGUUAAAGGCUGUGGCUUAACCAUAGUACGCUUUGGAAACUGUUUAACUUGAGUGCAGAAGGGGAGAGUGGAAUUCCAUGUGUAGCGGUGAAAUGCGUAGAUAUAUGGAGGAACACCGGUGGCGAAAGCGGCUCUCUGGUCUGUAACUGACGCUGAGGCUCGAAAGCGUGGGGAGCAAACAGG